GACGAACGCUGGCGGCGUGCUUAACACAUGCAAGUCGAACGGAGAAGCUCCAGCUUGCUGGAGUGGAUCAGUGGCGAACGGGUGAGUAACACGUGAGCAACCUGCCCCUGACUCUGGAAUAAGCGCUGGAAACGGCGUCUAAUACUGGAUACGAUAAGUGUCCGCAUGGGCACUUUCUGGAAAGUUCUUCGGUUGGGGAUGGGCUCGCGGCCUAUCAGCUUGUUGGUGAGGUAAUGGCUCACCAAGGCGACGACGGGUAGCCGGCCUGAGAGGGCGACCGGCCACACGGGGACUGAGACACGGCCCAGACUCCAACGGGAGGCAGCAGUGGGGAAUAUUGCACAGUGGGCGAAAGCCUGAUGCAGCGACGCCGCGUGAGGGAUGACGGCCUUCGGGUUGUAAACCACCUUCAGCAGGGAAGAAGCGAAAGUGACGGUACCUGCAGAAGAAGCACCGGCUAACUACGUG
rnacentral:rRNA from 1 species